rnacentral:rRNA from 1 species
AUUGAACGCUGGCGGCAGGCCUAACACAUGCAAGUCGAGCGGAGCGGCGGACGGGUGAGUAAUGCCUAGGAAUCUGACUGGUAGUGGGGGAUAACGUCCGGAAACGGGCGCUAAUACCGCAUACUAUCAGAUGAGCCUAGGUCGGAUUAGCUAGUUGGUGGGGUAAAGGCCGACCAAGGCGACGAUCCGUAACUGGUAGGAGAGGAUGAUCAGUAACAUUGGAACUGGGACACGGUCCAGACUCCGACGGUGGGCAUCAGUGGGGAAUAUUGGACAAUGGGCGAAUGUCUGAUCCAGCCCUGUCGCGUGUGUGAAGAAGGUCUUCGGAUUGUAAAGCACUUUAAGUUGGGAGGCGUUACCUACAGAUUAAGCACCGGCUAACUUCGUGCCAGCAGCCGCGGUAAUAC